UUAUGUUUGUAUUUGCUGUUGUUUUCUGAAUAUGAACCCUUGUUUGAUGGUUUCAGAUCAUUCCUCAAAUCUCCACCCUGCCGUGGUACACCACCCUGGUGCCGUUAGUGCUGGUGCUGGGCAUCACCGCCAUCAAAGACCUGGUGGAUGACCUGGCACGACACAGGAUGGACAAAGAAAUCAACAACAGGAAGUGUGACGUGCUGCUCAACAGCAGGUUUGAAGAAACCAGAUGGAUGAACCUACAAGUUGGUGACGUGGUCAGACUAAAGAAAAACGAUUUUAUCCCGGUAAGUUGUU